rnacentral:rRNA from 1 species
GCUUAUCACCAUUCCAGAUUGAAUAUACCCGAUCUCGUUUGAUCUCGGAAGUCAAGCAAUCUCGGGCUUGGUUAGUACUUGGAUGGGUGACCGCUUGGGAAUACCAAGUGUGAUGAGCA